rnacentral:rRNA from 1 species
GACGAACGCUGGCGGCGUGCUUAACACAUGCAAGUCGAACGCUGAAGCUCAGCUUUUGUUGGGUGGAUGAGUGGCGAACGGGUGAGUAACACGUAAGUAACCUGCCCUCUUCUUUGGGAUAACGCCCGGAAACGGGUGCUAAUACUGGAUAUUCACUGAUCUUCGCAUGGAGGUUGGUGGAAAGGUUUGUUCUGGUGGGGGAUGGGCUCGCGGCCUAUCAGCUUGUUGGUGGGGUGAUGGCCUACCAAGGCUUUGACGGGUAGCCGGACUGAGAGGGUGAGCGGUCACAUUGGGACUGAGAUACGGCCCAGACUCCUACGGGAGGCAGCAGUGGGGAAUAUUGAACAAUGGGCGAAAGCCUGAUGCAGCGACGCCGCGUGAGGGAUGGAGGACUUAGGGUUGUAAACCGCUUUCGCCUGUGACGAAGCGUGAGUGACGGUAAUGGGUAAAGAAGCACCGGCUAACUACGUG